rnacentral:rRNA from 1 species
CUGCCUUAGGGUAGGAAAGGUGGCCUCUUAACAAUGCUGCCGCUUAUGGAUGAGCCCGCGUCUGAUUAGCUAGUUGGUGGGGUAAAGGCCUACCAAGGCGACGAUCAGUAGCCGGCCUGAGAGGGUGAACGGCCACACUGGGACUGAGACACGGCCCAGACUCCUACGGGAGGCAGCAGUGGGGAAUAUUGCGCAAUGGGGGAAACCCUGACGCAGCGACGCCGCGUGAGCGAAGAAGGCCUUAGGGUUGUAAAGCUCUGUUUUAGGGGACGAAUGUCGUGGGGAGUAAUAUGACCUACGAAUGACGGUACCCUAAGAGGAAGCCCCGGCUAACUACGUGCCAGCAGCCGCGGUAAGACGUAGGGGGCGAGCGUUGUCCGGAAUUACUGGGCGUAAAGAGCACGUAGGCGGGAACCUAAGUCAGGUGUGAAAGACCGUGGCUCAACCACGGGGUGGCAUUUGAAACUGGGUUUCUUGAGGGCAGGAGAGGAAAGCAGAAUUCCUGGUGUAGCGGUGAAAUGCGUAGAAAUCAGGAGGAAUACCAGUGGCGAAGGCGGCUUUCUGGACUGACCCUGACGCUGAGGUGCGAAAGCGUGGGUAGCAAACAGGAUUAGAUACCCUGGUAGUCCACGCCGUAAACGAUGGAUACUAGGUGUGGGA